rnacentral:rRNA from 1 species
CCUACGGGAGGCAGCAGUGAGGAAUAUUGGUCAAUGGCCGGAAGGCUGAACCAGCCAUGCCGCGUGAAGGUCAGUGCCCUAUGGGCGUUAAACUUCUUUUGUGCGGGAGCAAUAAUGGUCACGUGUGGCUAGACGAGAGUACCGUACGAAUAAGCAUCGGCUAACUCCGUGGCAGCAGCCGCGGUAAUACGGGGGAUGCAAGCGUUAUCCGGAUUUUUUGGGUUUAAAGGGUGCGUAGGCUGGGAGUGAAGUCAGCGGUGAAAUGCCCCCGCUCAACGGGGUGAAGUGCCAUUGAUACUGCCUUUCUGGAAUGCGGAUGCCGUGGGAGGAAUGUGUGGUGUAGCGGUGAAAUGCAUAGAUAUCACACAGAACACCGAUUGCGAAGGCAUCUCACGAAUCCGCGAUUGACGCUGAUGCACGAAAGCGUGGGUAUCAAACAGGAUUAGAUACCCCUGUAGUC